GAUGUUAGGUUUAAGCGUGUUCGAUUUCUUGCGCGAGAACAACUAUGAACCAUAUCCAUUGGAACAAGUACGACACAUGGCCUAUCAAUUAUGUUACUCAGUGAAAUUUUUACAUGAAAAUCGUUUAACGCACACUGAUCUUAAGCCUGAAAAUAUACUCUUUGUGGAUUCGGAGUAUACAACGCACUACAAUCACAAAAUUAAUCGUGAGGUG